rnacentral:tRNA from 1 species
CGUUAGCUCAGCGGUAGAGCAUCCGGCUGUUAACCGGGCGGUCGUAGGUUCAAAUCCUACAC